AAGACUAUGCUUUCAGGGAUCAUUUCUGUAGUUUCUGACUUGGAAGUUUGAUUUGAAAGUGUAACGUCUCUCUAACCACGAUGACGAGUUAAGAUGCUUUCUUCUGAGCGUGAAUCGGGUGGUGAGCGACGAGCGAGAUUGUCUGCUCUCUGUCAUUGAUGAACGUUCCUGCUGUGCUUUGCAGUCUGGAAGAAGAAAGCAUGUUCAGAGUGGUU
rnacentral:snoRNA from 1 species